UACGUAGGCAGCGAGCGUUGUUCGGAGUUACUGGGCGUAAAGGGUGUGUAGGCGGUUCUUUAAGUCAGGGGUGAAAUCCUGGAGCUCAACUCCAGAACUGCCUUUGAUACUGAGGAUCUUGAGUACGGGAGAGGUGAGUGGAACUGCGAGUGUAGAGGUGAAAUUCGUAGAUAUUCGCAAGAACACCAGUGGCGAAGGCGGCUCACUGGCCCGUAACUGACGCUGAGGCACGAAAGCGUGGGGAGCAAACAGG
rnacentral:rRNA from 1 species